rnacentral:rRNA from 1 species
GUGGGGAAUAUUGGACAAUGGGCGAAAGCCAGAUCCAGCCAUGCCGCGUGUGUGAAGAAGGUCUUCGGAUUGUAAAGCACUUUAAGUUGGGAGGAAGGGCAGUAAGUUAAUACCUUGCUGAUUUGACGUUACCGACAGAAUAAGCACCGGCUAACUUCGUGCCAGCAGCCGCGGUAAUACGAAGGGUGCAAGCGUUAAUCGGAAUUACUGGGCGUAAAGCGCGCGUAGGUGGUUUUGUAAGUUGGAGGUGAAAUCCCCGGGCUCAACCUGGGAACUGCCUCCAAAACUGCAUGACUAGAGUACGGUAGAGGGUAGUGGAAUUUCCUGUGUAGCGGUGAAAUGCGUAGAUAUAGGAAGGAACACCAGUGGCGAAGGCGACUACCUGGACUGAUACUGACACUGAGGUGCGAAAGCGUGGGGAGCAAACAGGAUUAGAAACCCGGGUAGUCC